rnacentral:rRNA from 1 species
UACGUAGGGUGCAAGCGUUGUCCGGAAUUAUUGGGCGUAAAGAGCUCGUAGGCGGUCUGUCGCGUCGGCUGUGAAAUCCCGAGGCUCAACCUCGGGUCUGCAGUCGAUACGGGCAAACUAGAGUAUUGCAGGGAGACUGGAAUUCCUGGUGUAGCGGUGAAAUGCGCAGAUAUCAGGAAGAACACCCGUGGCUAAGGCGGCUCUCUAGUACGGUACUGACGCUGAGACGCGAAAGCGUGGGGAGCGAACAGG